rnacentral:lncRNA from 1 species
UGUGUCCCCUGGCCACCGGGCAUGUCCUCUGGCCACCAGGUGUGUCCCCUGGCCAACGGGCGUGUCCCUGGCCACCAGGUGUGUCCCCUGGCCACCGGGCGUGUCCUGGUGACACAGCAGUGACACCGCCUGGUGGCAGGAGUGCUGGCUGAGGUGACACAGCAGUGACAGGGUGUGCUGGAUGGGGUGACACAGAGUGACACGGGGUGGUGACACAGGGAGUGCUGGCUGAGGUGACAUGGCAGUGACAUGGCAGUGACAGGGCGUGUUGUCUGUGGUGACACAGCAGUGACACAGGAUGGUGGCUGUGGUGACACAGCAGUGACACAGGAUGGUGGCUGUGGUGACACAGCAGUGACGUGGGCCGGUGGCAGGGGCUGCCCAGGGAGUUCAGGGAGUUCCUGGAGGUGGCACUCGGGGCUCUGGGCUGGGGACAAGGUGGACAUUGGGCACAGCUGGGACUGGAAGCUCUGGGAAGGCUUUUCCAACCUCCCUGAAUCUGGGACUCUCUCAGGGACUUUUGGGCACGAAUACUGGGGAAAAAAGGUGUCAAAGUUUAGAAAUAAAGCCUUGAGCAGUUUUGGAUAA